rnacentral:rRNA from 1 species
CUACCAUGCAGUCGAGCGAAGUGAGAUUAGAAGAAAUCUUCGGAUGGAAUCUAAACUUAUCUUAGCGGCGGACGGGUGAGUAACGCGUGAGGAACCUGCCUUUCACAAAGGGAUAGCCUCGGGAAACUGGGAUUAAUACCUUAUGAAACUAUAAUAUCGCAUGGUAAGAUAGUUAAAGCGAAAGCGGUGAAAGAUGGACUCGCGUCCCAUUAGUUAGUUGGUGAGGUAAAGGCUCACCAAGGCAGCGAUGGGUAGCCGGCCUGAGAGGGUGAACGGCCACACUGGAACUGAGAGACGGUCCAGACUCCUACGGGAGGCAGCAGUGGGGAAUAUUGCACAAUGGAGGGAACUCUGAUGCAGCGACGCCGCGUGAACGAAGAAGGCUUUCGGGUCGUAAAGUUCUGUCCUUGGGGACGAUAAUGACGGUACCCAAGGAGGAAGCCCCGGCUAACUACGUGCCAGCAGCCGCGGUAAUACGUAGGGGGCGAGCGUUGUCCGGAAUUAUUGGGCGUAAAGGGUUCGCAGGCGGUUACAUAAGUCAGAUGUGAAAGCCAUAGGCUUAACCUAUGUAAGCAUUUGAAACUGAGUAACUUGAGUUAAGGAGAGGAAAGUGGAAUUCCUAGUGUAGCGGUGAAAUGCGUAGAUAUUAGGAGGAAUACCAGUGGCGAAGGCGACUUUCUGGACUUAAACUGACGCUGAGGAACGAAAGCGUGGGGAGCAAACAGGAUUAGAUACCCUGGUA